rnacentral:rRNA from 1 species
UGGGGGAUAUUGCACAAUGGGGGGAACCCUGAUGCAGCGACGCCGCGUGAGUGAAGGAGUAUUUCGGUAUGUAAAGCUCUAUCAGCAGGAACGAGGAGAGACGGUACCUGACUAAGAAGCCCCGGCUAACUACGUGCCAGCAGCCGCGGUAAUACGUAGGGGGCAAGCGUUAUCCGGAAUCACUGGGUGUAAAGGGAGCGUAGACGGCAGUGCAAGCCUGGAGUGAAAGGCGGGGGCCCAACCCCCGGACUGCUCUGGGAACUGCAUAGCUAGAGUGCAGGAGAGGUAAGUGGAAUUCCUAGUGUAGCGGUGAAAUGCGUAGAUAUUAGGAGGAACACCAGUGGCGAAGGCGGCUUACUGGACUGUGACUGACGUUGAGGCUCGAAAGCGUGGGGAGCAAACAGG